GACGAACGCUGGCGGCGUGCUUAACACAUGCAAGUCGAGCGGUAAGGCCCUUUCGGGGGUACACGAGCGGCGAGCGGGUGAGUAACACGUGGGUGACCUGCCCUCAGCUCUGGGAUAAGCCCGGGAAACUGGGUCUAAUACUGGAUAUUACUCUGCGGUGCAUGCCGUGGGGUGGAAAGCCUUGUGCGGCUGGGGAUGGGCCCGCGGCCUAUCAGCUUGUUGGUGGGGUGAUGGCCUACCAAGGCGACGACGGGUAGCCGGCCUGAGAGGGCGACCGGCCACACUGGGACUGAGACACGGCCCAGACUCCUACGGGAGGCAGCAGUGGGGAAUCUUGCGCAAUGGGCGAAAGCCUGACGCAGCGACGCCGCGUGUGGGAUGACGGCCU
rnacentral:rRNA from 1 species